rnacentral:lncRNA from 1 species
CUCUCCCCGCGGGAGCCCCACUUUUCCCCUCCCCCCAUUCCCGGUGCUUGGCUUCGAGGCGUAGGUAGCAGCGCCUCUCUGACUCCCCCGUUGUCCUGUGCUGCACCAUCUACAGAUGGUCUGCGCCUGGCAGGUCACAACAGGUCCGAAUCCACAGCACGCGGCUUACUUAGACUUGGGUGUUUUAGUGGCUCCGGGCACAACCGUUGCUCUGGCUAAUUAGCCCAGAUCGUUAUUCCCCCCACCCCCUCCCCCCCACCCCCCUCAUCUAGGAGAAACAUAAGGAAGGCUGAUAAAUGUCCCCAUCUAUAUGGUUUCCUCCCCCAAUCCUUUUGGGUCGUGAGCUUUAUCCUUACAGACCACCGAGUCUUCGACCACCCCUCCACCCCCGCCGACGCUCUCAGUGCUGGGUCGCUGCUUCUCUUUCAAGUUCUUCCGCCAACAGAGGCUCCGUGUACCCAUGCGAUGCCAACAAUGGCCACUAGAGGACACCAUAGUCACGCGGUCUCUGUGAGACCCCUGCAAAUGGGCUGCAUUGGCUAUGUGUCUGCUUGGAUUAGGAUUUGGACAAUUGAUAGCCUGUACUGGUGCCACAGCUCUACCCACAUAGCCCUGUACCCCUCCCAACCUGGGUCCAGCUCCUUUCUCCUCAUGUGCCUUGUGAUGAAUGCCACUGCCUUGCAAGAUCAGUGAGCAAAUGGAUGUGGAUGCAAUGCGGCUGCCUGAGAUUAGCAGGAAGCAAUUCUUUUCCCAUUUGGAGAGACCCCAGUGAGACCUGAUCACCAACCAGCAACAUAUGGAAGUCACACCAUUAAAUCUUCCAAUUUGCUAGCAGCAAAUCAAUGGAAUCUGAUAGCUGCUGCCCUAAGCUAGCAUCCUGGGAACUGUGGACAAGCUAUUUGAUACCUGAACUUCAGUGAAGGAAAGUUAAAGCUUUUUCUUAAAGCAGGGGGGGAAAGAGAUUAUAUUAAGCAAUGAGAGAAG